rnacentral:misc_RNA from 1 species
AGGGUCCUCUUUGCCGAUCCUCGACGUGUGAUAAGAUGUUUCCAUGUCUUGGUUUCUGGCUCUGUCACUUUUGGGACCCGCUCUAACCGUCUUGACCUUGCGUCGAGACAAGUGUUCGAGCAUGUCUCCCUUCUUGGGAAGCUCCCUCGACCCCACGAACCCUUGACCUCAAAUCGGGUGAGACUACCCGCUGAACUUAA